UCCACAAUUCCUUUCAUGCUUGUU
rnacentral:siRNA from 1 species